rnacentral:rRNA from 1 species
UCUUCUUUAACAACAGAGCUUUACGAGCCGAAACCCUUCUUCACUCACGCGGCUGUUGCUCCAUCAGGCUUGCGCCCAUUGUGGAAGAUUCCCUACUGCUGCCUCCCGUAGGAGUAAGGGAAUCUCCACAAUGGGCGCAAGUCUGAUGGAGCAACACCCCUGAGUUAAGAAGGUUUUCGGACCCUAAGCUUUUUGUCUAAAUAUAAACGAAAGAGGAAGAACCUGGACAUUAUUGAAGGGUAAAAAAAAAUUGUCCCGGCUACCUUCUCGCGGGUUUUUAAUUUUCCUUUCUCCCCCCCCCCCCUUCCCCUCUCCCCCCCCCUUCCCCUUC